rnacentral:rRNA from 1 species
UCCGGAGGAUGCAAUCGUUAUCCGGAAUGAUUGGGCGUAAAGGGUCCGCAGGUGGCCCUGUAAGUCUGCUGUUAAAGAGUGAGGCUUAACCUCAUAAAAGCAGUGGAAACUACAGAGCUAGAGUGCGUUCGGGGUAGCAGGAAUUCCUGGUGUAGCGGUGAAAUGCGUAGAGAUCAGGAAGAACACCGGUGGCGAAAGCGUGCUACUAGGCCGUAACUGACACUGAGGGACGAAAGCUAGGGGAGAGAAUGGG